UACGAAGGGGGCUAGCGUUGCUCGGAAUCACUGGGCGUAAAGCGCACGUAGGCGGCCAACUAAGUCCGACGUGAAAUCCCCAGGCUUAACCUGGGAACUGCGUCGGAUACUGGAUGGCUUGAAUUCGGGAGAGGGAUGCAGAAUUCCAGGUGUAGCGGUGAAAUGCGUAGAUAUUGGGAAGAAUACCAAUGGCGUAGGCAGCUAACUGGUCGAUACUUGACGCUGAGGCACGAAAGCGUGGGGAGCAAACAGGG
rnacentral:rRNA from 1 species